rnacentral:rRNA from 1 species
GACGAACGCUGGCGGCGUGCUUAACACAUGCAAGUCGAACGGAAAGGCCCUGACUUCAGGGUACUCGAGUGGGGAACGGGAGCGUAACACGAGGCUGAUCUGCACUGCACUUUGGGCUACCCCUGGGAAACUGGGUCCUAUACCGGACAGGAGCACUCUUUAGAGUGAUGGUUGGAAAGUUUUUUCGGUGUAGGAUGAUGUCGCGGCCUAUCCGCUUGUUGGUGGGGUAAUGGCCUACCAUAGCGGCGUCUGGUAGCCGGCCUGAGAGGGUGGACAGGGACAUUGGGACUGAGAUACGGCCCAGACUCCAACGGGGGGCAGCAGUGGAGAGUAUUGCACAAUGGGCGCGAGCGUGAGGCAGCGACGCCGCGUGGGUGAUGACGGCCUUCGGGUUGUGAACUCCUUUCGCGAGGGACGAAGCUAUUUGUGACGGUACCUAGAUAAGAAGCACCGGCUAACUACGUG